GUGCAUUCACUUCCCUUCGGAGAAAGGCUCCCUGCUUUGUGCAGUGGUGUCUCUUCAGCAUGUUUGCUCAGAAUAUGCUGGGACAGGUUAGGAAAUCCAGCUGCAAAGCCUCCUUCCUUGAAGGAGCUUUCUGAAAGAGAAGCUGCAACAAGAAGUGAAGGUGUGAGAAACAAGGAGACAGCAAUGGAAGUCAUCAGCCAAAAUCCCCAGGAAGAAGCAGGCGGAACGAUUGAAGAUGAUCUCCCAGGAAGCUUAUGCUCCGAUCAGCAGUGUGAACCACAACUAGUGCCCAGCAAUUGUUUUCUGAUUGCAGUGUGUCUGCAGGUUUGGAGCCUCAGCAAGUGUCUGAGCCAUCCCGGAAAGGUCACUCCUCCCCUCCAGUAUAUCCAGUUCUGUCUUGCAGCUGCACUGGGCUUUUAGUGACUCUUUCUGAGAGUUAGCUUGUUAUGCUCAUUUACAUGUGGACUUUCCCUGGAUUUACACUGAUAUAGCAGUGCACUGUUUUUCCUGUAAUUUUAAAAUAAUUCUAAACCAUCCCAUCAAUACAAUAUUCAAUUUUGACUUUGACAUCUAAGAAAAUGAGCUACUCCUACCAACAGUUAUGCCCACCAUGCUAUCCCUGUUCCACUAUCGCGUUCUUUGGUACAAAAUGCCUCAAAACAGGAAGACCUGAACCAGAAGAGACCUGUUGUUUCUUUGUGAGAUGCUUGUGUGUUUCCCCAAUACUUUGUAAUUCUCCCCCCUAAACUGCUGUCACAUUGUACCGUGUAUAUAACAGUGAUUUCGCAAUGCUUAAGACCAUUUAUAUUUCUGCAAGUGUGAAGAGGAGGUAUGAAGCAUGAUGAGAGUUACUCAGAGAUGCUGAGCUUUGAAUGUCAGUUGUAAAAGGAUGCCUGUUAGAACAGAAAGAAGACAGAAAAAUUUAGAUUUAUUUUUAGCUCUCAUUCAGGCAUAACAGUCAGAAGCACAAAGAAAAGAGCAGAGUUGCCAGGUAGCAAGUUUUCAUGAGUAAGUACCCUACCUGAAAUUAAAGUACAAAGAUCAUUCAAUUUUUUGUUGCAAACUCAUUAAUAGCAUUAACUAGGGAUGCAGAGUAGUUCUCUUUUUUUCUCUUUUUAAGCCAUACAGUUAAUACAAAACUCAAUUUAGGAUCACUAAUUUGUGAUCAAUAACUAAAAAUAAAGAGUUGAACAAAUGCUUAUUAAACUUUAGAUGUGUUGACUUCUGUGUUCAGCUACUUACCAAAGAGCCCUUUUUCCAGCCCUUAACCUCGUGACAGGAAAAUAGUCUUAUCUCCAUUUUACAAAAGAAGGAAUGGAGAUACAAGGUCUACACGGGAAGUCUGUGGCCCAGCCAAGACUCCACGUCUCCCAAGUCCCAUUCCAACACUGACCGCAAUGCAGUUUCCCUUCCACAGCCUUUUGAUCUUGAAUAUUCAAAUGGGUGACUAAGCUAUGGGGAAUCUUUGUGCAAGGAGCAGGUUUUAGGAACAAAUACAUUCUUAAGAAUAUUUGCAAAAACUAAUCAAAUUCAAACAAGCUUUCUAAGCAAGACUUGAGUCAGAUCCCAUUCCAACUAUGUACUCUGACUGUGCAAGCUGAUGUAGAACUACUUAUGUGCCUAAUGUUAUGAACAUGCUCAAGUAUUUUUAACGAAUCAAAUCUCAGUUCCCAUGAACUCUGCUCAGACAACCCACAGAGAAACAUACUAUAUAGCCAUCUUCAGUUUUGAAAAGAUCGGUGCAUGUAAGUUAUUUGGGUAAUGAGGGAAUGUACAAGGCAAAAGUCUGCAAGGUCCCAGUUUGGAUUUUUUACCCAAGUAAGGACUAUUCAUCUAAGCAACAACUAGCUGAAUAAUUAAGUGGGUGGAAGACAGUGUCCCACCUUAAGCCAUCAUAGCAAGAGAAGUAAUAGUAACAAUGACAGCAGCAGCUGCAUAUGCAAAAACUUUGAGCAUAAAUUCAUGCAACUUGAGGCAUACAUACAGGUUUUUUCCUUUUAUCAACAAUGGUGCUGUCCACCCAGAAGAAACAAACUGAAGAGAUGAGAAACGUGAAGGGUAAAUGUGAAGGCAGGAAGUACUGAAGCAGGAAAGUGGAUUUGGAUAUCAAAGGCCAUGUUUAGUAAUGUAUAAAUCAUGCCUUACUACAUCUUAAACUUCUGUCCUUCUGCCUGGGAGAGGAAGUUAUCAUCCAUUCCUCCUUCCAUGAGCUAUUUCUGCUGAUUAUUCAUGGUACAUCUAAAUCCACAAAGUAUACCUACCAAUAACCCAUAAAGGCCACUUCAACUUCCACAAGGCAGAGUGACCAUACACAAAGCUCUGUGACUGGCUGAACAGUCCUAGCUGAACAGGACUUGCUCUUCUGCACCAAAGACAGCUAGUAGAAAUACUACUGUUGAGACAUUGAAUACUCACAAUCUAGUGAUACAGUGAUGGCCAUGACCUGUAGCUCUUUCUCUGUUCUGUAUUUAAGUGCUGGGCACUCUCCUUUGUUUGUGAAACAAUUAAAUCAACUUUCAAGUGGUAAGAAUUGCUUCUGAUUGUACCCCUUCUUGUAUAAAAUAAUAAA